CCCCAAUGUGAGGCUGAACCCCAAAGUGAUGCUGAACCCCACAGUGAUGCUGAACCUCUAAGAGGAACUGAACCCCAAUGUGAUGCUGAACCCCACAGUGAUGCUGCGUCCCAAAGCAGUGCUGUACCCCAAAAUGGAACUGCAACCAAAGUGAUGCUGAGCCCCAAAGUGAUUGGUAUGAACCCCA